UUGAUGUUCUAACGUGGACCCGUAAUCCGGGUUGCGGACAGUGUCUGGUGGGUAGUUUGACUGGGGCGGUCUCCUCCUAAAGAGUAACGGAGGAGCACGAAGGUUGGCUAAUCCUGGUCGGACAUCAGGAGGUUAGUGCAAUGGCAUAAGCCAGCUUGACUGCGAGCGUGACGGCGCGAGCAGGUGCGAAAGCAGGUCAUAGUGAUCCGGUGGUUCUGAAUGGAAGGGCCAUCGCUCAACGGAUAAAAGGUACUCCGGGGAUAACAGGCUGAUACCGCCCAAGAGUUCAUAUCGACGGCGGUGUUUGGCACCUCGAUGUCGGCUCAUCACAUCCUGGGGCUGAAGUAGGUCCCAAGGGUAUGGCUGUUCGCCAUUUAAAGUGGUACGCGAGCUGGGUUUAGAACGUCGUGAGACAGUUCGGUCCCUAUCUGCCGUGGGCGCUGGAGAACUGAGGGGGGCUGCUCCUAGUACGAGAGGACCGGAGUGGACGCAUCACUGGUGUUCGGGUUGUCAUGCCAAUGGCACUGCCCGGUAGCUAAAUGCGGAAGAGAUAAGUGCUGAAAGCAUCUAAGCACGAAACUUGCCCCGAGA
rnacentral:rRNA from 1 species